rnacentral:lncRNA from 1 species
AAUGAGUCUGAUGAAAAACUUCAAGUGCCUUUUUUGAAUGUCGUGACACAAUUAGCAUCUUUGACCUCUAAAAAGAAGAAUAUCAUCAUGCUUCUGCAUAAACGAUAAGAGAAGCUAUCCAAAGAAAUCACCGAUACCGAAGGCGAGAUUUAUACCAUUGAGGCAAAUGUCCCGUUGUCGGAUGAUGAAUCAGAGAAAUUGUCCCUCCUAAAAGAUGCAGUUAAAAUAAGUCUCAAGCAAAUCCUUAGCGUCAAACCUUUUCCAUAGCUUUAGAACCUUUUUUUUGUUUUUCACUUAGGAUCCCCUGUCUUCCCUUAUUUCAAAAACGG